rnacentral:rRNA from 1 species
GACGAACGCUGGCGGCGUGCCUAAUACAUGCAAGUAGGACGCAGUUGCGAACGGGUGAGUAACGCGUAGGUAACUACCUAUUAGAGGGGGAUAACUAUUGGAAACGAUAGCUCAUACCGCAUACUAGUAGAUGGACCUGCUUUGUAUUAGGUAGUAGGUAGGGUAAUAGCCUACCUAGGCAACGAUACAUAGCCGACCUGGGAGGGUGAUCGGCCAAACUGGGACUGAGAAAAGGCCCAGAAUCCCACGGGAGGCAGCAGUAGGGAAGCUUCGGAAAUGGGGGGAACCCUGAACGAGCAACGCCGCGUGAGUGAAGAAGGUUUUCGGAUCGUAAAGCUCUGUUGUUAAGGAAGCGGUACUUAACCAGAAAGGGACGGCUAACUACGUGCCAGCAGCCGCGGUAAUUC